rnacentral:rRNA from 1 species
UACGUAGGUGGCAAGCGUUGUCCGGAUUUAUUGGGUUUAAAGGGCUCGUAGGCGGCCAACUCAGUCGGAUGUGAAAUCCCCAGGCUUAACCUGGGAACUGCAUCCGAUACUGGAUGGCUUGAAUCCGGGAGAGGGAUGCAGAAUUCCAGGUGUAGCGGUGAAAUGCGUAGAUAUCUGGAGGAAUACCGGUGGCGAAGGCGGCAUCCUGGACCGGCAUUGACGCUGAUGAGCGAAAGCUAGGGGAGCAAACGGG